rnacentral:rRNA from 1 species
UAGCGAAGGGGCUAGCGUUGCUUCGGAAUCACUGGGCGUAAAGGGCGCGUAGGCGGCCGGCCAAGUCGGGGGUGAAAGCCUGUGGCUCAACCACAGAAUGGCCCUCGAUACUGGACGGCUCGAGACCGGAAGAGGUUGGUGGAAUUGCGAGUGUAGAGGUGAAAUUCGUAGAUAUUCGCAAGAACACCGGUGGCGAAGGCGGCCAACUGGUCCGGAUCUGACGCUGAGGCGCGAAAGCGUGGGGAGCAAACGGG